rnacentral:rRNA from 1 species
AGCGAACGCUGGCGGCAGGCCUAACACAUGCAAGUCGAGCGGACCCUUCGGGGUUAGUGGCGGACGGGUGAGUAACACGUGGGAACGUGCCUUUAGGUUCGGAAUAGCUCCUGGAAACGGGUGGUAAUGCCGAAUGUGCCCUUCGGGGGAAAGAUUUAUCGCCUUUAGAGCGGCCCGCGUCUGAUUAGCUAGUUGGUGAGGUAAAGGCUCACCAAGGCGACGAUCAGUAGCUGGUCUGAGAGGAUGACCAGCCACAUUGGGACUGAGACACGGCCCAAAGUCCUACGGGAGGCAGCAGUGGGGAAUCUUGCGCAAUGGGCGAAAGCCUGACGCAGCCAUGCCGCGUGAAUGAUGAAGGUCUUAGGAUUGUAAAAUUCUUUCACCGGGGACGAUAAUGACGGUACCCGGAGAAGAAGCCCCGGCUAACUUCGUGCCAGCCGCCGCAGUAACAC